rnacentral:tRNA from 1 species
GACGUGUUAGUAAAUCAAUUACAUAGCCUUGUCAAGGCUAAAUUACAGGUGAAAACCCUGUACACCUCG